CCUUCUUUUUAAGUAUAUAGCGUAUUUGUUAUAAAUCAAUUGGUGGAUGUUCAUAACCGGUCCGGUCUAUAACCGGUCCAUACACUUAAAGAGAGAGACGGUCCAACCCUAGAGAAAGAGGCGGCCGCGAGACUUGGAGACGAAAGAGAGGCGACUACAACUUGCAUAUUUCCUAAUUCGUUUAUGUUUAUGAUUUGUAAUCUUUCGUAUUAUUGUAUUUUUAUUUAUCUCUCUUGUAACCCCUAUAUAAAGGAAACACUUAUUCAUUAAUAAUAUACAGAAACUUACAGUUCUAAAUCCUAAGUUUCACAACACGUUAUGAGCACGAUA
rnacentral:lncRNA from 1 species